GAUCCCUGGGCCUGCUCUGCUCCUGACCACGCUGGAAAUUAAGGCGGUUUCUGUGGGUAUGAACUCCAUCCGCACAGGCGAACAUCUCGACACAUACUGUCUUGACUUUAUACCCAACAUCUAAGAGCUCUCAGUAUUUCCUCGUCAGUGAGGUAAAACAAACAAGCCAUUAGAGGGCGCUCUAAGCAAGUUUAUGAAGUAGGUUUUUAAACAGCAAGCUCUGUCACUUCAUUGGAAAAGAUACCAGAAGUUUAAACGCCAAGUCCGAUCAAUCACACGGGUUCCGGGACCACUCUGAGUGUGCAAGCGUGGAGGGAUGAAGUGCGCUUUACAGAGGCCGCUCGCCCGAUUUUCACUGCGCCUGGCUUUUCCUAGCGAUUUCACUUGGGGAUACAAUGCCAGAAGAGUGAUUCACAAGGAAAGACUCCAAUGCACCCCAAGCUUCUACACGAGGCCAGGUGAGGUGACAGGGCCUGGGAUGUGGCCUGAACGCCUGGCAGCGGGUGUGAGGGGAGGGAGACCCCGCCUUAGAAAGCGCACAUUCAGUCAGCCAGCGUCAAAAGCUUGUCGCCCCCCUGAUUCUGGUUUCUCGGAGCCCAUCUGCUGAGCUGCUUCUUUCUAGGGCGGUGGGCGGUGUCUUAUCCCCCAGCCCACAGCAGGGAGCGCAGCCAUUUCCCCCGCUCUCUGCUGCCUUUUCUGUCUGAAGUUGGAAAUCUGUACGGAGUGAAAAGUGUGAGGGGGGGUGUGGUCCGCCGCGCCCCCUCACCCUACAUUCCCUGUUGCUCUGGAAGUGCUUGCUGAGCAUUUGCUCUGGGUAGGAACUUACCUUCCAUGCUGCUCACAAACCCACACGUCUUCAUCCCGAUCCUACAGAUGUCCAUCCACCCGCGUCCCUCCACCACUCCCCUCCCACCGUCCCUUGCCCCUCUGCACUCUGUCUGCUCCACCCUGGUGGUCUCCUUGACCACUCCCACUGCCCAUUACCCACGGAACGCUGGGACACUGGCGCUGCCCCACCUCCCCUGCUGGCCUUCACUCAGUGUCCUCCACACUCCUCCGGGCCCUUCCCCAGCUGCCUCCCCCUCCAAUUCACAAGAUGUGAAGGCACAGUUCCCACUGAGCGGUCCUGCUGCCCGGGGCUCGGUGCCCUCUGUCACCCACAAGGGCAGGUGCUCCCCGCCCUCCCAGCAGGUGGACCUGAGGCAGCAGCAGAGGCCCUGGGGUUUGAGGAGCGGGACCAGGAGGUUGAAAUACAGUUGCCGGAGGAAAAUGAGGAGGUUAAAUGAAGACAGUGUAUCCUAGGUGAAUCCUAGGAGGGGUGUGGAGGGUCUAAAAAAAAAGGAUCUGUGAAAGAUGGUGGCGGGGAGUUUGUGGAAAACUAAGUUACUUUACAGCACUUCCUCCUGUGGUGUUGUGUAUAAGUUUGAACUAGCAAUUAAGAAGCAAUCUAAGAAAUACCGGAUCACAGAAGUCCUCAUACUAUUCUAGCCACUGGAAGCAAUGUGAGGAAGAGAUCUUUCAUUUAGUCACACUUCUGGGCUGCCUGAUCAUCUCUACUCAGUCCCUUCCCACGGUCCCUUUCCACAGACCUCCACAUCCUCAUCUCAUUCUUUCUACAAACCGUGUCAUGACAGGGCCUAACCAAGCUCUGGGAAGGCUGGAAGAAUCUGCCUCAAGAAGAAUGGAAUCAGAGCAGAACCACAGUCUAUCAAUCUCUGUCCUAUGGCCUGGGCUGUUUCUCUGUCUUGGAAGCAUAAAGCCCUGCAGUCCCUGGGCACCGAGUGGGCAGGGUGAGCUGACUCCCCUCAGGGCUGGGAUGCAGACGUGAGGAAUCCUCGAGGCCGGCUUGUGUCUGGAAACCCUGUCCCCCGAAGUUAUCCCCGACCUCUUGGCCCACGGUCUACAAGAAGCAGGUACAUGGCCCCUUGGCCCCCGUCCCCUGCCCACUGUGCCCGUGUCCCUGGGAGAGAACAGACGGGCUGGAUGGGAAGGAGAAGGAGGUGAGCUUGAUUCUCUAGCUGCUAAGAAGGACUUGGGGCUGUGGCAAGAGAACCCACAGCCAUUCUCAAAGUCUGGUCCCCGGAGCAGAAAGGCCCAGGCACUGCUCCCUGAGCCAGGCCCUCCAGCAAUCGCUGCUCUGCCCUUACCUGGAGUGGUCCUGCUCUGAACCACCGUGUUGCUCAGCACCAGCAGUGCCGUGGUCAGAGCUGCUAUCCAGGGGGCCUCAGGGAUAUGUAGAGCCAUCGUGGAGUGGGAAAUGCUGGUGAGACAGAGAAAGAAGUUGUCAGGGAAUGAAGGACUCACUAAGUGGAGCUCCUGGGUGAAAUAUCAGAGACCACAAGGCAAAGUUGUCUCCCACGACCCUGUGAUUGGACAGACUCUGAGCAAAGAACCAAUGGGCACAAAGCUUUCUGUGAGUCAUCACUCACUGGGCAGAUCAUUAGUAUGAAAGGUCUGGAAACUCAGUGUAUAUCGCACUGAAGGUGAUGGAGGGAGGAGAGCAUUAUCACCUUAACUAUCUUUGUGAGUUGUGAAGUUUUGGAAGAUCAGUGUUUUCUUUGACCUAAUAGCGAUCUCUAACAAUCUGUUGUGCUGGAGCCACUGCUGCUGAGUCUGGAAUGCAAAACUAAGUGCCCUGAUGCCCGCUCCACAUGUGCUCCCGGUUCCUUUUGGUUCUAAGCCCAGAAGGCCAGUCUCAAGGACCAUCUGACUGCGAACCUCCUUAAGGAAGAACAGCUCCCCCAGGAUCCCAGUUGUCAGGGUUGGUGCUGUUGGCAUGGCUGGAGCCAGCAGUAUCUUAAUGAGGGACUUGGCAGGUGAACUUGCUCUUGUUGAGGUCAUGGAGGAUAAAUUGAAGGGAGAGAUGAUGGAUCUCCAGCCCGGCAGCCUUUUCCUUGGAACACCAAGACCUGCCUCUGGCAAAGACUAUAAUGGAAUCACACACUCCAUGCUGGUCAUUAUCACAGCUGGGUCACAGCAGCAAAAGGGAGAAAGCCAUCUUGAUUUGGUCAGCAUAAUGUGAACAUCUUUAAGUUCAUUCCUAAUGUUGAAAAGCACAGCCCAAACUGCAAGUUGCUUGUUUCUAAUCCAGCAGAUCUCUUGACCUAUAUGGCUUGGAAGGGGGCUGGGGAUUUAGCUCAGCGGCAAAGCGCCUGCCUGGCAAGCGCAAGGUCGUGAGUUCGGUUCCCGGUACCGGAGAAAAACCAAAAAAAACAAACAAAAAAACCAAACAAACAAAUAUAUGGCUUGGAAGAUAAGUGGGUGUUAUUGGAAGUGCUUGCAAUCUGGAUUCAGCCCGGUUCCGUUACCUGACGGGGGAAAGGCUGGGAGUUCACCCACCAAGCUGCCAUGGAUAGAUCCUUGGGGCCCAGGGAGAUGCUACUAUACCUAUAUGAAGUGGAGUGAAUGUUGCUGGUCUCUCCCUGAAGAAUCUGCCCUGAGUUAGGCACUGAUGGUGACAAGGAGCAUUGGAAGGAGAUUGACGAACAGGUGGUUGUUGGUGUUUUCCAAGUGAUCAAACUAAAAGGUUCCUGGGCCAUUAGAUUGUCUGUGGUAGAUUUGGCAGAAAGUAUAAUCAAGAAUCUUAAGGGUGCAUCCAAUCUGUACCAUGACUAAGAGACCUAUGGAAUAAAGGAUGGUGUCUUCCUUAGUGUUCCUUGUGUCUUGGAACAAAAUGGAAUCUCAGAUAUUGUGACUUCUGAAGAAGAACCCUGUUUAAAGAGUGCAGAUCCCCUGUGGGAGCUGCAGUUUUAGUCUGCUAGUGUCACCAUGUCACUGUCUGGGCUACAGGAGGGUUCUCUUGGAGGUAGUGCAUAUUGUCCUUUCUAUCUGAUCUGUGGUUAAAGCAGCAGUAUUAAAAUGGCCUAAGAAAAAUAUCAGUUUCCCAAGUUAGAAAUAGGAGUGGUUCACAAAUCCCCACAGAUCUAUCCUGAUGCCCAAUGGUACUUAACUUGUAUUGCCCUAACAUAUGUCCAGCAUAAAGCAGCCCACUGACACCACUGCUAGUGUCACACAGGCUCUAGGUACCCUUCAAACCAGAUGCACAUUACUCUGUUGUAUAACUUCACCAACCAAACCUAGAUUGACUUUUUUCCCAGUUGGUGGCAGCUGGGUAUCCAUUGUACAAAUCCAAUAUUGCAUGUCCUGUGCGUACUGUUUUAAAGGAUUUUACUUUUUAUGUAAAAUCCAGUAGUGUACAUUGCCGUAUAAUGUAAAAACAAAGAUCUACCUGUGAACAAUGCAGCCAACGAAGUGUCAUACCAACUAAAACACCAAAUAAAGCUUGAACAGUGAAAAAAUAAUUCCAUUGACCGGUCUAUGGGAACUAUCAUUCCCCCAGCCUUGCAGUUUCUGCACACCCACAGUACGUCGAUAGGGCAGGGCCAUCUAGUUGUAUAAAAGGCCAGGGAAUGGU
rnacentral:lncRNA from 1 species